GGCAUAGCGCUGCUACCAUGCAAGUCGAGCGGAGCUAAUAGCAAUAUUAGUUUAGCGGCGGACGGGUGAGUAACGCGUGGGCAACCUGCCUCACACUGGGGGAUAACACUGGGAAACUAGUGCUAAUACCGCAUAACAUCAUGAAAGGACAUCCUUUUAUGAUCAAAGGAGCAAUCCGGUGAGAGAUGGGCCCGCGUCCAAUUAGCUAGUUGGUGAGGUAAUGGCCCACCAAGGCGACGAUUGGUAGCCGAACUGAGAGGUUGAUCGGCCACAUUGGGACUGAGAUACGGCCCAGACUCCUACGGGAGGCAGCAGUGGGGAAUAUUGCGCAAUGGGGGAAACCCUGACGCAGCAACGCCGCGUGAAGGAUGAAGGUUUUCGGAUCGUAAACUUCUUUGAUGGGGGACGAAACAAAUGACGGUACCCCAAAAACAAGCCACGGCUAACUACGUGCCAGCAGCCGCGGUAAUACGUAGGUGGCGAGCGUUGUCCGGAAUUACUGGGUGUAAAGGGCGUGUAGGCGGGAAUGCAAGUCAGAUGUGAAAUGCCGAGGCUUAACUUCGGAGCUGCAUCUGAAACUGUGUUUCUUGAGUGUCGGAGAGGAAAGUGGAAUUCCCAGUGUAGCGGUGAAAUGCGUAGAUAUUGGGAGGAACACCAGUGGCGAAGGCGACUUUCUGGACGAUAACUGACGCUGAGGCGCGAAAGCGUGGGGAGCAAACAGGAUUAGAUACCCUGGUAGUCCACGCCGUAAACGAUGGAUACUAGGUGUAGGGGGUAUCGACCCCCCCUGUGCCGCAGUUAACACAAUAAGUAUCCCACCUGGGGAGUACGGCCGCAAGGUUGAAACUCAAAGGAAUUGACGGGGGCCCGCACAAGCAGUGGAGUAUGUGGUUUAAUUCGAAGCAACGCGAAGAACCUUACCAGGCUUGACAUGCAGAUGAAUAAAGGUAGAGAUAUCUUAGUCCUUCGGGACAUCUGUGCAGGUGGUGCAUGAUUGUCGUCAGCUCGUGUCGUG
rnacentral:rRNA from 1 species